rnacentral:lncRNA from 1 species
AAGGGUCUUAGCUGCUCGUAGAUUAAAUUUGAGUUCAAAUGUCCAUUCAAAUCUUUCGAUCAACUCAUGACAGUGUUGUCAAAAAAAUAAAUCUAAUUAAUUAUUUUUUUUAAUUAUAAAUUAUAUUUGAUUGUUAGUUAACAUCUGCAAUGUAUCAUUAGGAAAAUACUUCUAAUUCGACGGUACGUAAUUUUUAUGAUGGUAAAA